AGAAAAAUAUUAAAUUCCAAGGGUUUCGAUCAGCUAAAUUUCCGAUCUAUCUCCAAAAGCGUAUCAGUGAAUCGGCCGAUUUGCUGUGAAGAUUACCCGCUAUAGAGUAGCCGACGAUUACGUAGCGAUUAUAAAGAAACUACUAGAGCAAACUAAAAAACGCUAUCAAUUCAACACUUGAAACAGAUCUGAUUGGCUAUUGGUAAAAAAUAAGAAUAACAAUAAUGAAGCCGACAGUUCAAAUCUCAAGCUGGAUAACUGGUGAUAAAACUAAAAUGACAGAUAAAACCUAUAAUUCUAGUAAAUAUCGAUAACUGGUCAAUAAAUCUUAAUGAAACGACAGCGAUGCGCCCGAAGUUAAAUCUUAGAUAUUACUCGAUAAACGGAACUUACAAAUCGGUCGGAGAUCGUGUCGAUGCAGCCCUGCCAAUCUGUACGAACUCGUGAAAAGAAAAGGUUCUUGGCGAAGUCGCCAACUUGAAAGUAAAGUACGAGGAAUAAGUAGAUAUGUGGUUUUAAUUGAUGCGAUGUUUUACAAAUCUCUAGAGGUGGCUAUUUAUAGCCUGUUACAACUGAUUUCCUUAACCAACUAGGAACUAUCUCUAAUUUUAAACGAUAACAAAUAUUUACAAAUACAACUCGUAUCGGAGUUGGUUAUCAUACUCUCACAGGCCAAUCUCUUUCUUUAACUAUCUUCUUCUCUGGCCCACCUUAAGCCCAUAUUGGCCCAGCUGCCCCAACCUUCCAAUUGGCCGACCUUCAUUAACUCCGUUUGCCAAUCAGCCAAAAUACUGUAGCGCUAAUCGACCGAUUCCCAACUGUAGCUUUUAAUCCGCCGCAUCAGCCAAUCUUUUCCUUCCCUAACGCCGAUUCAAAACACGUGUCAAAAUCUGGCGUCAACACAUGCCCCCCAGUUUCGAAGUAAAACAUCACUUCUACUCCAAAAUUGUUUUUUGACUUUCUCUCCGAAACAAGCGUGGCAAAAACCCCUUUCGGUUUCGCAGUCUUCUACCUGAUGAUUGCAAUCUUUUCGAACUGGGCGCCUGAGACAACUGCUCCUCCAAAAUUCGUGUAGACGGCAUGGUAAAAUCCCCACCUUUACCCCUUGUCUCGGACUGUAUUUAAAUACCAGCAUUCUCUACCGCUUCUUCUCCAUGAGCUCAGUAAGUCUUCUUUCCCUAGCAAAUCAUCUUCCAUCACAUCCCAUCGCCCCUUUCCUCCCGGUCGCAUCUCUCCGGCGAUCUUCCUCUCAUCUUCAUCC
rnacentral:lncRNA from 1 species